rnacentral:piRNA from 1 species
CUUGACUAAUGAACAGUAUCACCGCAGUG